UUACAUAUAUUUCCUGUCAUUUGAAUGUAUCUUUAUAUUUUGAGUUUUGCUCAUUGUUAAAGGCUAUACACUUACAGAUUGUGGUUUACAUCCUUUUCCAUUGGUGUCUGGAUGAUAGUUGUCUCAUUGGCUAACACAUCAUAUCUCCUAAUCUGUUUCAUAUAUGCCAAACUGCAGAACCUAAGCCGAAUGUGUACAAAACAAGAAAUUUCCAGUCCUCCUUCCUUCUAAAAUAUUAAGCUUUAUACUAGUAGUUUACACCAGCGCUGGCAUAUCAUUUCUUUGUCUCAAAUUUUAGAUCUGCAUCAUUUGUUGCUGGAGCGACAAAUACAUGUCAAUCACACAAUCUCUACAUUGUUAUUCUUGAUAUUUGGGGGAAUCGAUGUGCUGUUCAAGGUUUCAUUCCUACUUUUCUACUAUUUUUUUUAUAUUCAGAUGGCAUAUGAGGAGAUGAAAUCUCAAAUAGUGUGCACCUGGUGGAAUAUCUCACAUGUUUGCUCUAUGGUGAAUUGCUUAGCUUGUACCUUACAAUCAUUCCAUAUCCCAAAUAUAGUUGAUAUCUUAGAAAC
rnacentral:lncRNA from 1 species